GACUUCCUGCUGUGGUGGCCUGACUUCUCCCGUGGUAGACUGUCCCCUCGGGCUGUGAGCCAAGACAAAUCCUUUAGACAGGGCCAGAUCAAUUGUCCUGAUCACUGAUAACUGCUCUCAGGUCGUCUGCAUCUCCUGGGAGGAUCGCUGUUCCUACAGAACUCACCACGGAACUCGAACUUACCAGGCACAAAACUGAAGGGAGAGAUAUGCAGAAUAAAGCCCUACCUGGGAAGAUCUGAAGUGAAGAGCGUAUGUGUCCUCAGUGGCACGGUGUCCUCUGAGGACGUCCAUGUGUGGCUGUCCCUUAUGCUACCUAUUCCAGAAGCUCCAGGUUUUAGUGUUCCGAGUUUCUGCCCAGGCUCCCAGGGUCAUGAUUGACAGUCAUUUUCUUCUCUCUUUCUGCUCUCUGCCCCUUGGUCCUCCUGGUCUGGCCAGCCCCCUGCCUGAUAUUAUAGGUGUCCUAGCCCUGCCCUUCAUCUGUCAGAUGAAGGAUCACAUGUCCAUGUAAGCUCUCUGGUCACCACAGCAUGGAGUGUGAUCCCAAGGGCCUUAGAGAAACAUGACACCCCAUCAGUUGGGGGAAUUCUGCGGCUGAUCCCCCAAGGUCAUCACAUCCCUGGCUCACACUCCCUUACUUUAGAAUUAAAAUGUCAGUUAUUCAGUAGGAGCUCCAAGGUCUU
rnacentral:lncRNA from 1 species